AGGAAAAAUAGAAGAGUAAUUUUUUCGGAGUUAACAUUAUUUUCAUCUAAAAGAGUCAUGUUUAUACAUUAUAGAGUAAAAUCGUGUCAAUUGGUCAAUAGAAUCGGAGGAAAAAAACAGAGUAAAUCAUAUCGGAGUAAAACAAGAAAAACGCCCACUGAAGUUCGUUAAGUUUCGUUUCUUCCACCAUUUUGUUUUCCCGCAUUGGACCGGAGGCGACGGUCUGCUUUGUGCCAGGAUGCAAGCUGUGCGUGUCAAACAUAGAGAUCGACAGAAAUACAUCUGUUUUGAAGGCCAACUGACUUACAGUUCAUUUUUGGAAUGUGCUGCAAAAAAGUUCAGCAUCCCAACCUUGGACUUAAAAGUUUCUGAUGAUUCUAAGACUGAAGUGGAUGAGGAGGUUUUUGAGCUCCUUUUGAAAAGUCCAAACCUUGGUGUGCUGGAAAUUUGUGAAGCACAAGAUCUCCAUCCAGAAGAUAAUCCUAUGGAUCAGCUAAGCUGUGCAGCAAGCAGCUCCUUCACCAGCUCCAGUGGAGAAACUGAAGUGGACUCCGAUGACACCAUUAUAUUGCAACACAGUCCUGUAACAAGACAUAGAGCUGAAGACACCUCUCUUGCCCAAAUGAUUGAAAAUGUUCUAAAGAACAAACCAGGAGGAGACAGGAUCGUCAAUGAAUAUGCGCGGACA